UGAUAUUUGAUUGAGACGUCACUACGCAAGAUGGCCGGAGCCAUAACAUCAGCUCUUGAGAAUAAAAGGCCUCGAUUUUUUUUUUCGGGAAAUAAAGUACUAGUAGCGCUCGCCGAAGCUGAAUUCGUUUUCUUUAAUAAUAAUAACACAUUUCUUAUAUAGCGCUUCACAUAGCACAUCUCGAUGCGCUUCACAGUAAUAUUAUGAAAUAAAGCAAUUAAUGAAACAGGUGACAGGUGACAGGUCUGAUGCAGCAGUCAGAGAUGCGAAGACUUUCAAUUGGAGUAUGGUGAUUAAACUGAGAGGUGAUAUGGAUGACUUCAGUUUUGUCGCUAUUCAAUUUGAGUUUAUUGGCAGUGGACCAAGAUUGUAUGUGUGAGAGGCAUGACUCUAGUCGCUGAAUGACGUCAGGACGCUGCUGCUCUGUCAUGGUGACGUAGAGUUGAAUAUCGUCAGCGUAGAUCAUGCAGCUGACGCCGUAUAAUGCGAUGAGAUCUUCCAGUGGGGAUGUGUACAUUGUGAAGCAUAGUGGACCUAAGACAGAUCCCUGUGGCACUCCGGUAUUAACAUUGUGGGAGGGAGAUGAGAUCUUAUUGAUUAGCACAGAUUGUUGACGGUUUGCAAAAUAUGAAGUGAACCAUUCCAAGGCAGAGUCGUUGAUGCCAAAGCGGUGAUGUAAGCGUUGUAGCAAGACAUGAUGAUCAAUUGUGUCAAAGGCUGCCGAAUAAUCAAGCAGCACAAGAACGGCCUCUCGACCCUCGUCAAUAGCCAAUAGCAAAUCAUUGUAAACACGCAGAAGAGCCGUUUCCACACUCCGAUAUUUACGAUAGGCUGACUGCAUUUUACCUGCGAGAUUGUGAGUAGCGAGAUGACACUGUAUUUGUGAGGCCGCUGCACGCUCAAUGGUUUUCCCGAGAAAAAGACAGAUUGGCGAUUGGUCGAUAGUUCCUCAGGUUGUCAGGAUCAAGAUUCUGUUUCUUGAUAAGCGGUGUGAUGUUGGCAAACUUUAAUGCAUUGGGGAAACAGCCGUUGUUGAAACUCAAGUUGAUGAUGUUGGUUACGGUUGGCGUGAUCUCAUCUAUGCAGUGCUUCAGCAGCCAGUCAUCAGCCGCUCCGGUGUCCCUCCAAGACAAAACUGGCGUUUCAGGAGCUCAAGAAACGACUACAAAGGGAAAGUGAGAGUCUAACGAGAAGAGUGGAUGCCAUUUUGGGGUUCCGGAUUGCCGAGUGUCCCGGUGGUAAUGUGGAGUGUUGGGUGGUUGACUUACGUCAAGGCAUGGGUGUAGUUAGAAGAACGAGCAGUGGCAAGUACCCUCA